rnacentral:misc_RNA from 1 species
CGCACAUUGCGCCCAUGAGUAUUCUCUUGGGCAUGCCUGUUCGAGCGUCAUUUCAACCCUUAAGCCUAGCUUAGUGUUGGGAAUCUACUGUGGGUGUUUGGCCCUGUAGUUCCCGAAAACCAACGGCGGACUUGUAGUAUCCUCUGAGCGUAGUAAUUAUUUCCUCGCUUCUGUCAGGCGCUAUAAAUCUUGCCGCUAAACCCCUAAACUUUUAAAGGUUGACCUCGGAUCAGGUAGGAAUACCCGCUGAACUUAA